CACGGGGGGAGCAAGCGUUGUUCGGAAUCACUGGGCGUAAAGGGCGUGUAGGCGGUCAGGUAAGUGAGACGUGAAAUGCCCCGGCUCACCCGGGGACCUGCGUCUCAUACUGCUUGGCUUGAGUACGGGAGAGGAUGUGGGAAUUCCUGGUGUAGCGGUGAAAUGCGUAGAUAUCAGGAGGAACACCGGUGGCGAAGGCGCACAUCUGGCCCGAUACUGACGCUGAGGCGCGAAAGCUAGGGGAGCAAAC
rnacentral:rRNA from 1 species